GUCAAUAAUAUUCAGAUGCACAGGAGCACACAGAACUGUUCAUUCAAUGCUUACCUCCUGCCCUGUGCCAGGUCCUGUGCUUAAGGAUGCAUGGGUAAGACAAGUCCCUACCCUUGGCCAUCUCAGCUCACAGUACUACCCCAGGGCAGGGUACGAGACCCUGAAAGCUAAAGCAAGAAUAAGCUCUGGAAGUAGAGAGUAAGGCUGCGAAGAUGGAAGUAGUCUAGGGAAGGCCUCCCAAAGGAGGAGACAGGCCUGGAAGGAUGAUGGAUUUACCCCCACUGGAGAAGAGCAAAGAACCUGUCCAGCAUCUGAAACACUUGAAUUGAUUAUGAGAAAGGAUGGUGUUUUGGAACUAACAGUGCUCAGGAAUGGGUACAUAUGAGGUGGUACAUGGGAAGGGUAGCCAGAGAGAAGGCUGGUUCCUUAAGGGCACUCAUUGACAUUCAUGCUUUGAUUUCCUUGACUGGGUUCUCCACCUCCACUGAUAUCAAAUAUUCUGAUUACAGUGGUUUAGGGUGGGGUCCAGGCAUCAGUAUGGUAGUUUUCAUGAAGGAGGUUAUUUUGAUGAGGGCUGCUGUUCUUGGGUUUUUUUUUUGGGCAUUGGUCACAUUGGUAAUUUUGAAGCUGUACACUUAAAUGCUAACCAUACCACCUCACUGUUCAUACUGCAUAUUCAAAAAGUAUUUUUCUCUUUACAUUACACUUACAUAGCUAAUGCUUCUCCAUCUCAGGUAGCUUGUCCCAUAAGGACACAUCGUGACUUUAUCGGUAUAUUUGCUACUGUGGUUUCCCAGCCAUGCAAAAGGAUUUGCACGUGUGCUUGGUGGGCCCCCAGGCAUUUCUUCCACCCAUCUGCUUUACCCAUCUGCACUGCUGUGGGGAUAAAUUCAGAAAGAUUUUAAGGCCCUAGGGAAUCCUUGGCUUCAGGUUCCCACUGACAGCUCACAACCAUCUCCAGCUCCCAGUUGCGAAAGAAUCAUGGUCUGUCAGGUUCUAAAGUAUCGAGUUAUCAGUGAUGCAAAAGAAAAACAGAACCGGUCUCCUCUGCUGAUUUCACCUGAAACAUGAAAAUGCCCCAGACAGGACAGUAUAAUCACUGCCCAGGUUCCUGGGUAUUUAAGAAAGCUCAAGAACACGUUGGGCACACUCAAUGCCUUCUUGUCGAUUAAUGAAACUCAUAGCCUGGCAUUUCCAGGUCACCAACCAGACGGCUCUGGAGUUUGCCUGGCCAUUCAUAUUUGUCCCAUUUUACCUUCCCAGGUAGAGCCUCUCUAAUUCUUUUAGACUUUUUUAUUUUGCCCAUCCUUUCUUUGACCUCUAAGCCACUGGCUUUCAUCAUUUUUUUCUUUCUUUCUUUUUUUUUUUUUUUUGAUGAUUUUGUUUUUAGUAGUCUCUACAUACAAUUUGGGGCUCAAACUCAGGACCCCAAGUUCAAAAGUCACAUGCUCUACCAACUGAGCCAGCAAGGAACUCCUAAUCCAGUGGUUUUCAAUUAAGUGUUAAUGUUGAAUCUUGGAUAUUCUGCAAUUUCCCAUUUUUUGCUUUUCUUCUGUCCCUAGAACCUCCUAAUUUCACACUACUUGAGUAAUUUGCUGUUUUAUCAAAGAAACAAACAAAAGCCUGAUUAUUCAUUGUAUUUACCUAAAAAUCCAGAAAGAAACCUAUUUAUGAAACAUGCUACCUCAUAUAUGGUAGAAACUUCACUUCAAAUCUUCCAAAAUUUGAAUUUUUCAAAAACAUUCAGAUGUCCAAGUCUUAACCCAGACCUUGACAGUCUGAGGUAAGGGUUUGAUAUGCACACGUUUCAAAACAUUUCAAAAAUACCUAAUGUGCUUUCUGGUAUGAGCUCCUAGGUAAAAUUCCUAAUCCAGUUCAUCUCCGUGUCCAUUCGUCACUCACCUCUAACUGGGUCGACCUUAACUCCUCAUCUCAAAUUCACCCUCCACUCGACAAGCUUGUCUCUGAUUGUUCAAGUAAGAAAAACACCAUGAGCUACCACAAAAGCAGAGGGAAAUCUGUCAGUGCAGACCUUAUCAGAAGCCAGGAUCCGGAAGGAGGCAAUGACCUGCUCUGCCGUGUCUGUGUCAGCUGUCUCCCUCGUCAUGAAGUCGAUGAAGGACUGGAAGGUGACAGUGCCCUGUCCGUUGGGAUCCACUAGGGUCAUGAUGCGUGCAAAUUCAGCUUCGCCCUGGGGCAAGGUUGGAAGAAAACAUGCACUUCAUAACAGGACACAAUCCUCAACAGUGCCAUUCUCCUGCUUUUAACUCCUGACCUGUGAAUUCCUUAUGAAAUAAAAACUUAAAUAUUCCCUGCA